GGAGAUUCAUCGUCAAAAUAUUUGGUAUUAAUGCUAGUUAUGAUAUAGUAAAUAAUCCUUGUGGUUAGUUAACUGUACAUUCUAGUAUUAUUUUGGCCUUAUAUGUCGGCGUGCACUUCUCCUCUAGUAGAACGUCGCGACCCGUUAAAUGUUGAUCUAUGGCCUAGUUGAUUGUCUCAUUCUGCUUGCAGUUUGAGGUCAUUAGUGUUUCCUGAUCAACUGUUUGACGGUACUCGUAUGGUAUUAAGUCGCUAUUUUAGCGUUAAAUUCAUCACAAGUGCGGUUUACUUUUAACAGCACGGAUCUAAUGCCGUCGUUGAAAUAAACCAACUGUUAGUUGAUGAUAAUCUUUAACUGACUUUUAAUACCGGUCAGCGACGCUACUGCUUUGGAUACUUUCAGGACCCGUCUUGAAACACGGACCAAGGAGUCUAACAUGUACGCAAGUCAUUGGGAUUUUUAAAACAAACCUAAAGGCAUAAUGAAAGUAAAGAUUGUCUUAUGACAAUUAAGGGAAGAUAGGUUAUAUUACGAUAUAAUCUCGCAUUCCCGGGGCA
rnacentral:rRNA from 1 species